AACGCAUCUUGCGCCCAAGGGCAAUCCCUUGGGCACGUCUGUUUCAGUGUUAUUUUCAACCCACUCCUAAGAAUGGGUGAUGAAACGUUGUGCUUGCCACUUUCUCUUUUGAGAGUGCGUCUUGCUCUAAAUGGAUUAUCAAAAGGUCAGUUCCUCACAGAUCAGACUUUGGUAGUAUACCGAAAGUCGAGUUUGUUUGGUUUUAAUGCUGUCUUUUAACAAAUUCAAAAUUUAACCUGAAAUCAGACGGGACUACCCGCUGAACUUAA
rnacentral:misc_RNA from 1 species